UACGGGGGGGGCAAGCGUUGUUCGGAAUUACUGGGCGUAAAGGGCUCGUAGGCGGCCAACUAAGUCAGACGUGAAAUCCCUCGGCUUAACCGGGGAACUGCGUCUGAUACUGGAUGGCUCGAGUUUGGGAGAGGGAUGCGGAAUUCCAGGUGUAGCGGUGAAAUGCGUAGAUAUCUGGAGGAACACCGGUGGCGAAGGCGGCAUCCUGGGCCAACACUGACGCUGAGUGAGCGAAAGCCAGGGGAGCAAACGGG
rnacentral:rRNA from 1 species